AGUGAACGCUGGCGGUAGGCCUAACACAUGCAAGUCGAGCGACCGCACAGUAAGAUCUUGCCCUUACGGUUGGCGAGUGGCGGACGAGUGAGGCGUACAUCAGAAUCUACUAUUUCGUGGAUGAUAACGUAGGAACACUUCCACUACUACCUCAUACGACCUACGGGAUAAAGCAAGAGAUCUUCGCGCCUUUCGCGAUUGAAUGAGCCGAUGUCGGAUUAGCUAGUUGGCUGGGUAAAGGCUCACCAAGGCGACGAUACGUAGCUGGUCUGAGAGGAUGAUCAGCCACACUGGAACUGAGACACGGUCCAGACUCCUACGGGAGGCAGCAGUAGGGAAUAUUGGACAAUGGGCGCAAGCCUGAUCCAGCAAUACCGCGUGGGUGAAGAAGGUCUUCGGGUUGUAAAGCCCUGUUGUUGGGAAAGAAAAGCAGUAGGUUAAUACCUCGACGUUUUGACGGUACCCAAAGAAUAAGCACCGGCUAACUUCGUG
rnacentral:rRNA from 1 species